GCCAUCGUAUAUCAGUGGCAGAAUCCCUUCACGCCGUCAGGUUGUCUGACAAUUCGAACAUCUGCACGAAGGAUGCGUAGGUUCGACUCCUACCGAUGGUA